rnacentral:snoRNA from 1 species
CCCCUCUCAGGGUUGCACGUGGAGAGUUUCCAGUACUUUACCAGUCUCGGCUAUGGGAGGGAGAAUCAAGCAGAGGCCUACCCAUUCCAUUCCUAGCUUGGGCAGUGGCUAGCGAGUGGAAGGCAAUCUGCUACAAGU